GACCGGAAUGGACGUAUCUCUGGUGUACCGGUUGUCACGCCAGUGGCACUGCCGGGUAGCUAUAUACGGACGGGAUAAGCGCUGAAAGCAUCUAAGCGCGAAGCCCACCCCAAGAUUAGAUCUCCCUGGGCACUCGAUGCCCCUGAAGGUCCGUCGAAGACUACGACGUUGAUAGGCUGGGUGUGUAAGCGCGGUAACGCGUUGAGCUAACCAGUACUAAUUGACCGUGCGGCUUGGCCAU
rnacentral:rRNA from 1 species